rnacentral:rRNA from 1 species
GGCUUUUUGAUAAUAAUUUUAAGUUUGGCCUGCCCACUGAAAAUUUGAAGGGCUGCGGUAUUAUGACCGUACUAAGGUAGCAUAAUCAUUAGUUUUUUAAUUGAAAGCUGGAAUGAAUGGUUUGAUGAGAAAAUAACUGUUUCAAUUUAAAUAAAUGAAUUUUAUAUUUAAGUUAAAAAGCUUAAAUUUGAUUAAAAGACGAGAAGACCCUAUAGAGUUUUAUAUAUAAUUUAAUUUAAUUUUUUAGAAUUUAAAUUUUAUUUUAUAUUUUAUAUUUAAUUGGGGUGAUUAAAAAAUUUAAUAAACUUUUUUAUUUAAAAAUCAUAAAUUUAUGAAUAUAUGAUCCAUGGUUAAUGAUUAUUAGAAUAAAUUACCUUAGGGAUAACAGCGUAAUUUUUUUUGAGAGUUCAAAUCGAAAAGAAAGAUUGCGACCUCGAUGUUGGAUUAAAAUUUAUUUUUGGCGUAGAAGUUAAAUAAUUAGGUCUGUUCGACCUUUAAAAUUUUACAUGA